AUUUAUAUAGUUUAAUAAAACAAUACAUUUUCAUUGUAUAAUUAACAUUAUUAUGUUUAUAAAUA
rnacentral:tRNA from 1 species